UACGUAGGGUGCAAGCGUUGUCCGGAAUUAUUGGGCGUAAAGAGCUCGUAGGCGGUCUGUCGCGUCUGCUGUGAAAACUCAGGGCUUAACCCUGAGCUUGCAGUGGGUACGGGCAGACUAGAGUGCGGUAGGGGAGACUGGAAUUCCUGGUGUAGCGGUGAAAUGCGCAGAUAUCAGGAGGAACACCGAUGGCGAAGGCAGGUCUCUGGGCCACUACUGACACUGAGAAGCGAAAGCAUGGGGAGCGAACAGGG
rnacentral:rRNA from 1 species